GGGGCUAUCUGGUUUUGACAGCAGGUAGAAUGGUUGUGUAAGCACGCCGAGCAAUGAGGCAACGCUCGUUAAUCUCGCUUCAAAAUAUAACUGGCGAAACUUCUUAUGCUCUCGCUGCCUAAUCGAAGUAUAGUAGAUAGGCUUAUUCGAGCGCAAGGCGCUUGAACGGGACGUCACUCCAAGCCGGGUCUGUGGGCUGAAAGGAUAUAGUGGCGCAGGAAUUCACAGAAUAGGUGUCGUAGGCUGCGAUGCGAUACCGAGAACUUAGCAGAUAAGCCGGUAGUUGGUGGCUCGGGUCUUGCUGCCGGACGAAAAUCAAGGCCGAGAUAAGCGUGUAGAAAGCAUAAGUAUUCCUUGUUUGGACACGGGUUCGACUCCCGUUAGCUCCACGG
rnacentral:tmRNA from 1 species